rnacentral:rRNA from 1 species
UACGGAGGGUGCGAGCGUUGUCCGGAAUCACUGGGCGUAAAGGGCGCGUAGGCGGCGCGGAUAGUCGGCGGUGAAAGCCCGGAGCUCAACUCCGGGUCGGCCGUCGAUACUUCCGGGCUUGAGCACUGUAGAGGCAGAUGGAAUUCCGGGUGUAGCGGUGGAAUGCGUAGAGAUCCGGAAGAACACCGGUGGCGAAGGCGGUCUGCUGGGCAGUUGCUGACGCUGAUGCUGCGACAGCGGUGGGGAGCAAACG